CUUGGGUAAAGGUAUUGCCUCUAAAAUUUACCAUUUGCUGCAAGAACAAAUAGCUGACCCUCUUUUUAAAGUAAAAAGAUAUUGGGCAGAGGACCUGGCAGAGGAUAUAUCUUCAGAUGAAUGGGAAUCAUGUCUCUCAAAUAUUAAUACUGUCAGGAUCUGGAUUUUUUUGUCUGUUUUGGUGCUGUUACUUUUCUUAGCCUCUAGAUGGCGGGGAACCUGGAGGAGAGGCGACAAGUGUUCACCAUUUCCUUGAUCACCUGCUGAGGAGUAUUUAAGGAGGAGGCUGUCAACAACUCGUUGCCAGAUUGUUGUCCAUUAGUGGAAUACCUGAACCAGAACCUGACCUUGCCUUGUGGUGAACACAGCUAGGAUUUACCUUUUCCUGUGGAAGAGCCAUUCUUCUUCAUGAAUCAAGAACCGCACCUCUCGGACCUCGCUGGUGUGCAGCCUCCUAGAUUCCUCACUCCUCGCCGAGCCUACAAGAACCUCGUCCACACUCCUCCUUUUUCCACCGCGCCGACUUCUGUAUUCCUGGACCCAUUAAUCAUUCUGGCACACAUUAUCUUCAUCCUAAUCAGUCUCACGGGUAAACAACAUCUUGGUCUCUCCACUUUCCUCCCUCUGGCGGAUAACACCAUAAACCAAUUGGUUUGCCGGUUCCUGUUUCCCUGUCCAAGUCACUUCACUGUAGAUAAAACACAUUACCGUAAAUCUUUGUUUCCUGAGUUGCUUUUCUGCAUGUGGGUCAGAUCCGUAAGAACCAAUAUGACAAAUACCAUGUAUAAAGAAAUAGGCAGCAGGUUUAUUCAAUUAAAGAUAGUCCACAGAUAACAUCGAACACCGCAACAACUACACAAAUGGAAUUUAAUGCCUAUGGAUACUUGCUGGAGAAAUGAUGGUCAAGGUGCCUCAAUUCUACAUAUUCUGUGGAGCUGUCCAGUACUUCAGGACUGGUGGAAAAACAUUUCUGAGAUUAUUUUUAGUAUUCUGAAUAGGAGAUUUCACAUUUAACCCAAACUGUCUGUGCUCGGCUCAACCACAGGACUCCCGGAUUCUCAAUUUUUUUCUCAUGAAAGGAGAUGGAUUAUUUUGGCUCUUACCACAGCCAAACAGAGUCUUUUGAGACACUGGCAGCAAAAAUACCUCCCUCCUUAUGAGAAGUGGUUGUCGACAAUGGGUAAAUUGGCAUCUUAUGAGAAAGUGUCUUAUGGACUAUUGGAUUAACUUCGUCAAUAUCAUUG